AUCAGGGGGGGCUCCCCGCUUUCCCAAGGAAGGCCCCAGUUCUGUCCUGAGCCUAGGUGAGGGAAGGGCCCCACGCUCCAUCCUCAGGUGGGCGGGGAGGUUUCCCGAGCUCCCAAGGGAAGGAGGGCCCCAGUUGUGUCCUGCCCUCUGGUGUGGGAGGUCCCCACACUCUGUCCUCAAGUCGUGAGGGUCUCCCUGCGCUCCCAAGGGAAGGAGGUUCCCACGGUCUCUCUUCAGGUUCGGGGGGGGAGCUCCUCGCUUUCCCAAGACAAGGAAACUGAGUUCACGGAAAGCAUAUGCCUGAGGUCACCCAACUCGACUCUGGGGCAAAGCUUGGGAAUAGGAUCAUGGAGGAGGAAACUCAAUUUUCAUUUACAUCAUUUCUGUAAGGAUGGCUUUUGAUAUGCAAUUAUUGGAGACGGAAAAUCUGCAAGAGUCUCUUCUGUACCUAUCACGGGAUGGAGAGACUGUUAUAGCCCUACCCUUGUUAUUUUUGUAACCUGUAUCCAACCCCUUCCUUCAGGUCCAAUCCUCCCAAUAUUCCUCUCUGGCUCUUUAAUUACCCGGCUUGGAGUUUUACACUGGAAAAUUUCAGAAUGUUAUUUUGCCUAACACUCAAAUAUAGCUUGUGUUUCAAGCUCCACAGGUUAA